UAAUUAAAAGUCCGAAUUACUGGUAAUAAG
rnacentral:piRNA from 1 species